rnacentral:rRNA from 1 species
GCUUACGGCCAUACCACCUUAGGCACGCCCGAUCUCGUCUGAUCUCGGAAGCUAAGCAGAGUCGGGCCUGGUUAGUACUUGGAUGGGUGACCGCCUGGGAAUACCUGGUGCUGUCAUUC